ACCUAACCUCUGCCGCUUUGUGUAUUUAGUCUGGUAAGAGUCAGGCUCUUAGUUUUCACUAAUGCACCUCAAUGUCAGCAAUAAAAAGCAGUGUGAGGGACUAUUGCUGGGAAUUUUGAUUAGACAAUGCUUUUUGCAAAUGCUUAAAAUAUUUAAAACUUUCCAUGUUACAAUAACAGUGUCGACAGCUGAGACUGGAUUUACAAAUGCACCAAGUGGAACCUCAAGACUACAGUUGAUGUUUAUUUAGUAUCUAAGGAUUUGUAAUAACGUCCUCAUUGAUUACUGGCCAGGUUUUUAAAUGCUCAUCACUGAUCUCUUAAAGUGCCCUGCAAAAAAAAACAUCUGGCUACCACUCCAGCCAGAACCUCCUUCAUCCUGCAUUCAGCACUAAAAGGGCUAUCUCCACAAUCCUGUCAUUAAUUCAACCAUCCCCAUUGCUGGCUGGUGGGAACGCCUUCACGUACCCAUAACAGCUGAUUCCGUCAAAAGUUUUACAUGACAUGCUCACUGUUGAAAGAAACAGCAGCAAAUUUUGAGGCAGAAAAAUUAAACGACGAAAGAUGCCGAAGAAUGCAGCUAAAGCUGCCAGUAUUCAGCAAAGUGUAACAAGGCGUUAAAAAACUUUUUUAAAAGAACUUCACACUACCUCAGACGGAAUCUUUUUGUUCUCGUUCAAUCUUGCAUGAGUGUUGUUACGUUUACUUGGUACUUAGGGAUAUAGAAGGAUUCCCCUGUGGUGGCCUGAGGCGAGGCAGUUUUAUGACAGGCUGUGUGUGUGUGUUACAUAACGCACAAUGUGACAUCUUUCUGCAAAAGCACAUCCCAGGGGGCUGCAAAGAAAGGAGCCGUCAGGACCGUCACAGAGGCUGUAGAGCGAGCAACCAGGUGGCUAUGGAUCGAGAGGUGUGACUCGUAGACCAAUGCUGCUGGGACACAAGGCAGGGCCUGAUCAACCCUGGCUGGGUCACCUGGGUGAGAGCAUCUUGAUGUGGAAAGACCCAAAACACCCGAUGACCCAGGUAACUGAUGAUGUCAUAAGACCAGCACAUCCCGAGACAUAUCUCAGCAUCAGGAGGCGAGCGAGGAGGACGGACGUGUGGGGAGCGGACAGCGGUUCCAGGACGGCGGAUACUGGACGUCUGCGGUUCGGACGGUGGCCAAAGGCUCGGAAGGCCAUUGUGGAUGGAACUGGAGGCGUGAGGGUGAUUGGUUUCGGCUAAAAGCUAAUCAGCUGUGACGUUCAACUGGAGUGUAUUGCGUAAGCCAAUCAGGAUGGUGAAAUUGGGAGAAAGGUUGAGAGAGCACGGCGGAGAGAGAUUUGUGACGGACUGUGUGGUUCCUGGUUUUUUUUUGGCGGAAGCUGCGGCAAGGACAGGAGGGAAGACGGCCGAGGAUGCCUUGGGAAGGAACGCCCCUGUUGCAGAAAAUGCUUUGUGCAAAUGAAUAGCUCCAAGGAGGAAAGGCCAAUACUCCCAAUGAGAGUACCCAUUUGUUCGAAAUGGAUUUCCAGCAAAGAUCAAAACGUGGUGUGUGCACGGAGACCCAGGGUCUAGUGCACUCAUAGAAAGGACAACUUCAAGAUGAACUUUAUGUGUAUAUUUGG